CCCUAGUAACUGCGAGUGAAGCGGGAAGAGCUCAAAUUUAAAAUCUGGCAGCUCUGCUGUCCGAGUUGUAAUCUGUAGAAGCAUUUUCUGCGUUGCACUGUGUACAAGUCUCUUGGAAUAGAGCGUCAUAGAGGGUGAGAAUCCCGUCCAUGACACAGAUUACCAAUGCUUUAUGAUAUGCUCUCAAAGAGUCGAGUUGUUUGGGAAUGCAGCUCAAAAUGGGUGGUAAAUUCCAUCUAAAGCUAAAUAUAGGCGAGAGACCGAUAGCGAACAAGUACCGUGAGGGAAAGAUGAAAAGCACUUUGGAAAGAGAGUUAAACAGUACGUGAAAUUGUUGAAAGGGAAACGCUUGAAGUCAGUCACAUUCUGCAGAACUCAGCCUUGCCUAUUAGGCCUGGUGUAUUUUCUACAGGAUGGGUCAACAUCAAUUUUGGUCAGUGGAUAAAGGAGGAGGGAAUGUGGCACCUGUGAAGGUGUGUUAUAGCCCUUUUUCAUAUACAUUGAUUGGGAUUGAGGACUGCAGCAUGCCCCUUGUGGGCCAGGCUUUUCAUGUCACAUGCUUAGGAUGUUGACAAAAUGGCUUUAAGCGACCCGUCUUGAAACACGGACCAAGGAGUCUAACAUGCCUGCAAGUGUUUGGGUGGAAAACCCUUGCGCAUAAUGAAAGUGAAAGUUGGGAACCUCCGCAAGGGGGUGCACUGACACCCGGCCCUGAUGUUUACUGACGGUGCUGCGGUAGAGCAUGUAUGUUGGGACCCGAAAGAUGGUGAACUAUGCCUGAAUAGGGUGAAGCCAGAGGAAACUCUGGUGGAGGCUCGUAGCGAUUCUGACGUGCAAAUCGAUCGUCAAAUUUGGGUAUAGGGGCGAAAGACUAAUCGACCAUCUAGUAGCUGGUUCCUGCCGAAGUUUCCCUCAGGAUAGCAGAAACUCAUAUCAGAUUUAUGUGGUAAAGCGAAUGAUUAGAGGCCUUGGGGUUGAAACAACCUUAACCUAUUCUCAAACUUU
rnacentral:rRNA from 1 species